CCGUGCCGUGCCGUCCGAGGGCGUUUUGCAGCCUUAGGGAAGCCAGGGUGCCCCCUCCCCACUGAAGGCCGUGGAACAUGGGUUUCCUGGGCAAGCUGGCGGCGCUGCCCAAACUUAGCGGUGCGGUGGCGGGCCGGGGCGGUGGUGCCUGGCGGCCGGGCCGGCCCUGUGCGGCCGUCCCGCUCCCGGCCCGGGCCACGGCCGCCCCCCGCCCGCCGCCCGGCGGCCGCGCCGCCUCCUCCCGGGCGCCCGGCAAGUACGAGGAAAUUUUUCGGUCCUGCCUAGCGGAACCCGAGAAGGUCUGGGGAGAAGUAGCCGAGCAGAUCCAGUGGUACAAGCCCUGGGUCCGGACCCUGGAGAGGGACAGCCUGGGCAGCGCCUCCUGGUUUGUAGGUGGAGAGCUGAAUAUCUGUUACAACGCUGUAGAUCGUCAUGUUGAGAAUGGACGAGGAGACCAAAUUGCCAUUAUUUAUGACAGUCCUGUAACAAAUACCAAAGAGAAAAUAACAUAUAAGGAACUUUUGGAACAGGUCUCCAAGUUAGCUGAUGUCAUGAUCAAACAUGGUGUGAAGAAAGGAGAUCGUGUGGUCAUCUACAUGCCCAUGAUUCCACAGACAGUGUACUGUAUGCUGGCUUGUGCGAGAAUAGGAGCCAUCCAUAGCCUGAUUUUUGGUGGAUUUGCAUCUAAAGAGCUUUCAGUUCGCAUUGAUCAUGCAAAGCCCAAACUUAUUGUAACAGCAAGUUUUGGAGUAGAACCAAAAAGGAAAGUGGAAUAUAUAUCUCUGCUAGAAGCAGCACUGGCAAGGGUACAGAGCAAACCUCAUAAAGUUCUCGUUUACCAGCGACCUAAUUUGGGCCAUGUUCCUCUUACCAAAGGUCGUGAUCUUGACUGGGAAGAAGAGCUUGCAAAAGCCCAGUGUUCAAAAUGUGUCUCCAUUCCCUCAGACCAUCCACUUUAUAUUCUGUAUACGUCUGGAACAACAGGUUUGCCCAAGGGUGUUGUGAGACCAACUGGUGGCUAUGCUGUUAUGCUGAAUUGGACCAUGUCAGCUGUAUAUGGCCUCAAACCUGGUGAGGUAUGGUGGGCGGCUUCUGAUUUAGGUUGGGUUGUUGGUCAUUCCUACAUUUGCUAUGGACCUCUCCUUCAUGGUAAUACUACAGUUUUGUAUGAGGGGAAGCCUGUGGGAACGCCAGAUGCUGGUGCCUAUUUCCGUGUGCUAGCAGAGCAUGAAGUAGCUGCCUUCUUUACUUCACCAACUGCAAUUAGAGCAAUCCGUCAGCAGGACCCUGAGGCAGCCUUAGGAAAGCAGUACUCGCUGAAAAGGUUCAGAAUGAUGUUUGUAGCUGGUGAGCACUGUGAUGUGGACACGCUAGAAUGGGCAAAAAGAGUCUUCAAGGUACCUGUCUUGGACCACUGGUGGCAAACUGAAUCUGGUUCUGCAAUUACGGCUUCCUGCAUUGGUUUGGGGAACUCUACAACACCUCUACCCGGACAGGCAGGAAAACCAGUGCCAGGAUAUAAUGUCAUGAUUCUGGAUGAAAAUAAGAAACCAGUGAAGGCAAAGACUUUGGGAAAUAUUGUGGUAAAGUUGCCUUUGCCUCCUGGAGCAUUCUCAGGUCUUUGGGAAAAUCAAGAAACAUUUCAGAAGUUAUAUUUCCAAAAGUUUCCAGGAUAUUAUGAUACUAUGGAUGCUGGUUAUAUGGAUGAAGAUGGCUAUCUGUAUGUGCUGUCUCGAGCUGAUGAUGUGAUCAAUGUUGCUGGACACAGAAUUUCUGCAGGUGCUAUUGAAGAGUGUAUUCUCUUCCAUCCUGCUGUGGCAGACUGUGCUGUUGUGGGCCAGGAGGAUCCUUUAAAAGGACAUGUUCCAUUUGCACUGUGUGUACUGAAAGAAGGUAUAAAGACACAAGAGAGUAAGAUUUUGGAAGAGAUUGUUGAGCGAGUUCGGACCAACAUAGGUCCAGUAGCAGCUUUCCAGAAGGGGAUGUUUGUGACACAGCUACCAAAAACACGCUCUGGCAAGAUUCCACGUUCUGCUCUUUCUGCACUCAUCAGUGGAAAGCCAUACAAGGAUCAUGCUCAGGAUCAUUGCUGGAUGGAUUUAUUAUCUAUGAGGGAAAAUAUACUCCCCUUACAUCUCAUUCUUGUGAGAUUUUGAAGAGAAAAGGAAUGUCAUCAGUAAAGAUAGCAAGAUCAUGUCCUCCAAAAAAGGACAGCGCUCUGCACAUUGGAGUUCAGAUACGAAGGAAUUGUCUGUCAAAUCAGAGGUUUCAACCUGGAUCUCCUACACUGCAGGUGAAAAUGGAUUCCUGCUCCAACAGAAUCACACCUGCCUCUCCAGGAGGACUGCAGCCACCAAUCCAACUGGACUGCUACCAACACUCUGUCCAACAGGUUGUCAGGUUGGAUUCUGACUUUGUCAGCGGUUUUUAUUUUGUAUUAUUGUAUGUAUUUUAGUUUUCUUUUCCCUUUUCCUAAUAAAUUAUAUUUCUGACUUUUUUUUUCAUAAGACAACUAAUUUAUUGCCAUUUUAUUACAUUUUCCUUAGACAUAUAUUAAUAUAAAAGUUGUGUAGAAUUUUUUUACUCUAUUGUGUUUUACCCAUUCUUCCUUUAAAUUCUAAUUUUACAGUUAAUCUGAUAGGAUACUUGCAUCUGCUGGAAAUACUUACAUCUACUUGUUUAGAAAGCCAGCUGUAUGCACAAGGAUAUAAGCUUAUAUUUAUCCAGAAGCUCCAAAUUGCAAUGGAUAAACUUAUACAUGUAGAUAAGAUAGGGACUAGAGCCUUGAGGGUUUAUGUUUGAUUAAAAAUUCGCCAUUUUCUGAUACAAGUAUUCUUAUCUUUUAUGAGGAAGGGAAUUAAAAAAACUUGGCAAAACAUAAAAAAAUGAUAUUUUUUAAAGAAGUAUUAUUUUAAAAAAUAAAAUAUUUAAAAAUAUGAGUUAGAUAUGGAAAAAAAUAUGUUGUAUCAUAUUUUCCAUCAUCAGAAUAAUCUAAGUAAGGUUUAAUAAUCCUCUGAAAAAUAAAUACCCAUUUAUCUUUACAUUUAUAAUGCUAAAAAGUCUCCAAGUAUUAAUGUAAGAACAAGACACAUUUUUAAUAUUGCAAAAGCUUAGACUGACUAAUGAUUUGAAAGUGUUCCAGUUAAAAUAUUUGCUAAAGGAAUUAAGUUUAAAAAUAAAUUUAAUCUUUAUGUUUCUCCAAGACUAGACACUGAUCUAGCCAAAAGAAAACGACACUGCACACAGCAGACAAUCCUAAACUGCAUAUCAGAACACUGGACACCUCCCCUUCCUUCACCAGAAUGGGAAAAGGGAAACAUGUUUUGCUAGAAAGGGAGGAAAAACUAAAGAUCAGGCUAAAAGCUACUAACAACAUCUGUGAGUUUUUCAUAGAUAAGAUAGGAAGGAACGAAAUUCAAUGCAAAACUUGAAUUUUCCCGAAGAUUCAGAAAAUAAGAGACUGGGGGUGAAAAAACAUUGUAUUCUUAAGAGUUACAUCAAAAAAUAAAUUGCAUAUGUUUAGGAUACAAUGGUGCUUAAUAUGCAUUAAGUAUAUAGGAACAUUAGGGUGUUUUUAUUGUGCCAUCCAACUAAUUAAUCCAAUUGGAUUAAUUUUCUAAAAUGUGUGCAAUUAAAAAAAUUAUUAGAAACAGCUAUUUGCAUACUGCAGAGGACAGAGAUUAUUUGUAGUCACAAAUACACUACAUCAAAUUCUAAUUGCACUUGCACACAUGAAACCUAAUUAAUUAACCUAAUUAAAUGGGCAUCAUGUGGAUUCAAAAGCAAUUACACGAUAACUGCAGUGUUUCAAACAAAACAGUCCACAGUAUUCCACAUAAUAGUCUGCCUAAAUAAUUUUUCAAGUUGCUUGUUGACAGAGAUCUAAAACUUGGAUUUUCCCAUUAAAAAUUUUUUAAAAUGUUUAUCAAAUGAACUUAUCAUCGACAUUUAUCAUUCUUUUUUUCCCCUAAGUAGAAAGAUAGUCAAUCCAACAUGCUCUUCUGUUCACAUGAGGUUCCUGCUGUUUAACAUGUACAUCACAGCAAUCAGCUGAGAUGUAACAGCACUGCAAUCCUCUCUGCAAAGUUAAUUAUAAGGCUAUGAAUACUAAGAAUUUAUUUUUUAUACAUGAGAAUUGUUUAGGUCUUGAUUUUCAAGGGUUUUUUAUGUAUGUAAGCACAUGUACAUGUCCUGGCACAUCAACGCUUUUCUGCAACGCACCUGAAGCCAGGAAGCUGUAUCUGGCAAACAAAAACCUCUAGCAGUGGAGUAAAUCCUCCCAAAAACAGGUUCUUGGGAAAGAAUGGUUUACAUUGAUUUUCCUUGGAAAACAUAAACCUCACAUCUUAAGCUUGUUUUGGAAACAUGGAAUUAAUAGAUUCUUGUCCGGAGUCAAAUUAAAGAAAACUGAAGAAAAAAGUGAGGCUCAAGCACUGCUCUUGACUCAUAUUAAUAAACUGGGGGAUUUAUCAGCUUCUGGACUUGGGUCCUGCCAUCAAAAUCCAGAAUAGCUGGCUUGCAUGUGAUUUCUUUUUAAGGGAUUUUUGUAAAAAUUUGUACAAAAUAUACAAUUAUGAAAUUUGUCUUUGGGAUUGCUGCAGAAAGGAUGACACAAGCCAAUCUCCCACUGUACCAGCAGCAUGCACAAGGUCAAACUACCUCUGAGUGGCAAUCCAGGACUACAGAACACUUAAAUGUCUCUCAAACCUCCUUAUGGUGGUACCUCAGAGGGGAUACAAUCAGCACAUCCUGUGAAAUGUCAGUGACUAUGACCAAUUAUUACACACUUUCAUGCAACAUUUGAUAUGUAUACAUCUUGUAUUUCUCCAGGGACACUUAUUUGCUGCUACUUUGCAUAUUGUUGCAGAUGAAAUCAAACAUUACAUUUGAGAAGGGUCCCUGGCCGUUGGAGCUGUACUACACUGUACAAAACAAGACUCUUUAGAGUUGUAUUUGCCACCAGUGAAGCUUUAGUAUGGGAAAUUUGACAUUAUUUCUGAGCAAAACUGUGGAUAAGGAGAAAGCAAUUGAUGCUGACUUGCAUAGGUAUAGCAAAAAGGAAGCAAACACAAGUUGAGUUCAUUGUUAAAUAUUUUCAUAAAGGUCUCAAUGUAUGGCAUUCUAGUGUAAAAAACAGUAAAACAUUUAUACAGCUUCUCUUAGGUGCCUUAAUUUUUAACCUAAGAUGAGGUCAGUGGAGAUAUGCAUUUUUAAGGGGAAUACAGUUCAUUUUAGCCACAGUGUUAUCUACUGAUAUUUUGGUGCAUGAAUUGUCUUAUGGGACAGACGCUAUGACUCUACCUGAACCUUUCAGGAACAUUCACACAUUGCAAUAGGAACUGGACUGACCUGAACUUCCUAUGCUGGAUCCUGGCUUGGGCUAUCAUGGCAAGCCUAUGUGAAUGCCAAGGCCAAGUCAUUGUGCACAGUUUGCACAACACCCACAAAGGAUGAUGUCAUGAACAUAUGAGAUAGUCUGUACACAGUCACACAGAAUGGUAGCUGGAGUAAACUACAAAAUUCAGAAUUGGAAAUUAGGAGGGCGUUUUCCAGAGGGAGACUGGUUAAUUGCUAGGAAAAAAAAGUACUAUGAGAAAGGGUCUGUUCUUCAUUUUUGCCUCCUGGAGAGUUUAUCUUAAUCAAAAGGUAUGGUUUAUAGGAGUGCAAACUAUUUAAAUCAUUUGGGGAGUUCAUUUGAAUGUAACUAUGGGAGAUGGUAUCUGUGCCACUAAUAAUUCUAGUCCUAAACCCUGAGUUUUCUUAAACAAGGGUUCUUUAGGCAAACAGGCUCUGAAAGUUCAGGCAAAAGGCAGAAGAUUCUAUAUACAAAGCAUCACCACAUUUUAUAUAGAACAAGUGAAGUGAAAUACAAAGUCUAGUUAAAAUCAUAAAAUUCAAGCACAUGUACACCCCAGCAUCACUUAAUUUCACAAAACAAGGAAUAACACCCUACACACUUUAAAUACCCCUUACCCUCACCUUUUUUUCCUAGAACAGUGUGCUCAAUUUACAAAUAGUAAGACCUAAAAAGUUUCAGUAUUAACCAGAACUGUCAUUUAUUUAAUGUUGAGAGUAAACAUCUAUGGAUGAGUCAGGCAACUUAAAGUCAUCUUUUCAGCUUGUAAGAGAUGUUUGGUAUAAUUAAAAAAUUCUACACAGCUUCCUUAAUUUCUCUUUGAUGCCUUAGGAGUAAGGCUUGUUCCUAAUAGAUCUGUGUAAUAACCAAAUUUUGGAUGAACAGAGACCCUUGUUGGAGGUUUAUAAAUGUCUAGCAUAUCAUUGAGACAAAGUGUUAAUUACACUUUAAUGAUGUCUAAGCAGUCAAUUGAAAUUGAAAGAAAUUUUGCAUCUAAAUAGCAUCUUCUAAACAAGAAGCAGGGAAACCUUGAAAUUUAGGUUAAUGACACUAUAAUCACCAGAGACAGAAUUGGUCUCCAAAAUUACCACACUCUCUCAUUAAACUUUUCAGAGUGAAAUGUUUUAUUCAGUACCUGAUUUGAUGCAAACAAACAGAGCUAAAGCACUAUAACACACUGCAGUGUCUUCCUAACUCCAUGGGGCCCAGAGUCAAUGCAACACUGGCUUGAGGGAGCAGGUGCUCAGGACACCUGAUGGACCAUUAGAACCUGCUGCUGCAGUACGUGGCAAUUUGAAAUGUCCUGCAUCUUUAUCCCUGGGGUAGGGGCAUCCUUAUGGAACUACUGAUGGAAUUAAAUACAUUCAAAAAUGCAAAAUUAGAAAUUUAGCAUUUUAAGUAUUUCUCAGUUGAGAGAUACCAUGGAUAUAAUUUUAAACAUGAAUCUGUCCUUUUAUAAUGACUUCUAUCCACACUAAAUCAAAGCUAAUAGCAGAGGUGGGUGAAGAUCAUGGUUACUAGCACAGUACUCAUAUGUUGAUCACAUUGAUGAACCUGACUUCUGUUUCAUAGCAAGGGGAGAAUCCUUGUUUUCCUGCAUCAGAAGCACCACUGAACUGUUUGCUGAGCUGUUAAUAGGGCUGAAAGCCACUUCACUUGACUUGCGCAUCUCAAAGGGAAACACACUUUCAGUAUAUGGUAUUAUACUCGUUUUAUAGAAAAGAGAAUUGGCUCUGGCAUCACUGUUUCAAGGGUUUUUGUAUUGUUGGGGUGUUUCGCUGCAGGGUUUUUUUGGAGGUUGGUUUUGGUUUUGUCUGCAUUGGAUUUGGAUUUUAUUUUUGUAAAGGGAGUGACAAAGCCAGCAUAAGUAAAGCUGUCUCAGAACCUGAAAUGUAAUACAAAGUAGUGCUUCUCAGCUUUAGCCUAUCCUUUAACUAUCCUAUUGGUGGGUUUGGCUCUCUUGGGCUUUUAUGUCCUAAUCCAAGUCAGCUAGAAAUGCUGACAAGGUGCUCUGCUCUAUGUUCCAGUGACUCACUGUCUCUGCAGGGUUUGUAGAGCAGUUUUGUUUAGCAGUAAAGGAAGAAUAAACCACUGGGACUUAAAUCAUACUGCUAUAGAUCUUACUGCUACAUCACGAGCUAGGAAAUUACUCUCUGACUUCUCUUAUUAUGUCUUAGGAAGACCUCCCACACAUCCCCACCACCAUUAAUGUUUCAUAGCAUAGUUUCCUCGUUUGCACUACACAGUUCAGUAAUCUUGCACCUACUGUGUGUAUGGCAAGGCUGCUUCCAGAGGGAAUUAGGCAUUGUUAAGAAUUGGUACAAAGGAAUGACCUACUGCAACAAACUUUUCAUUUAAAUUACUUUCUGGACUUCCUCAAUUUAAUAUUUUCAAGGCAAGACGUGCAAAUAAAUGACUGAUAUUCAAGACCCAUUUGGACACAGUCCUGUGCCAUGUGCUCUAGGAUGACCCUGCUUGAGCAGGGGGGUUGGACCAGAUGACCCACUGUGGUCCCUUCCAACCUGACCCAUUCUGUGAUGCUGUGACUGCAUUUCAUACAAGGAGGUGGUAAUUCUCUUGCACUCUGUUGACAGCUUGGCACCCUAAUGACGACCAUAAUUCAGCAGAAUCUCCUGUAUAUCUCCAACACAAUAGGUUAAAUUUUUUUCCUAUGUUAUGGUUCCUCUAAAAUGAUAUAACAUAGACUUACAUAUACACAUAAACUAACAAUAAUGUAUGUUAACAUUUCUGCAGUUCUGAGGAUUCUAAAGUGAGAAACUAUGAAGACAGGUAACUCUGAAAGGUACAGGGGAAAAAUUAAAUUUCUUCUUGAGAUAGUUGUAGAACAUAUACGUUGGAUAAAUAAUAUACAGUUCAGACUAAUAGAAAAGUCUUAGUCACAAAGGAAAGACUCCUUUCCUUCUAGCAGAGGACACUUUGAUUACAUCUAAUCCAUAAAGAACCAAGGACAGACAGACACAGGAGAAAAAAAGGAAAGACUUGAAAAGCAGAAAGCAUGGGAGUGUGUGAGAUUGGACAGAAAUUUAAUAACAGAUUAUCUGCACACCCCUUAUUUACAGACCCAAAAGUUGGUAGGCAAUCUAUAGAUGAAAUAGUCAUGUCAUGUUUGCAGUGGUGUGUGCCAAGUCUUGUUAUUUUACCCAGUUUAACAAACUAACACAUGAAGUGUUAAUGAACACUAAUAACACUAAGUGAACAAAAUGAACUCAUUUGUCCCUUCAAAAUUUUUUCAAUACUGUGAUACAUUCAGCCCUCAGAACUGGAAGGUACAUUGGGAUUAAAAAAAAAAGGCUGCUGAAAAUGUACUCUUUAUGAAUGGUAAUGAUGGCCUCAAAGAUGCCUUCUAGAUUUAGUAAAAAACCAUGGUAACAUAAUCUACAUCCAUAUAUUUCUAAAAUUACUGAUUAUGUAUAGAUAAGAAAUACAGGGAUAAGACUCAUCAACUGUAACAUCCCUGUGAAUACUAUUUUGAGUUUCUUAAUUGAAUUGAAAACGUUUCUUCUCUUCCAGCUAGCACAGUGACUGCUUCUCUAAUUGCUAAAUUGAGGCUGAUUUAAACAGAAUGUUUGCAUUUGUACAUUACAUGGAUGUGUACAUUUAAGGUUAUAUUUCAUCAAGCGCUUAACAGGAAAGUAGUGAUUAAAAAUAUUCAACAAAAAAAUUUAAAGAGAAACUCAAAUAUUAUCCCUAGAGUCUUUGGAUUAGAACUGAAAAUUCUCUUGAAACUCAAUCAAGGAAUCUUAAAUGAGUGAAACAAACCUGAAAACACAGAAAACUUUAAAAAUUGGGCUUUCAGAAUCCAAAUAAUAGCAUUAAAGUGAAUGGUUAUGGAUGAAAAUAAACCUUUUUGUGUACAGAAUGAAUUUGCAAAGUCAGUUUCAAGUACCGUCUUUUUCUCUGACACCCUCUAAUUACACUUUAAGUGCAAUGCUGCCAAGAGGUUUCUUUUGUGUUUGCAGCCUUAUUUUAUUAGUUCUUCAUAGCUCCUGGCAGCUGGUAUGAGUCAGUGUACUGUUUUCACAAGGAGGUGCAUGAAAGACAGCAUUAAAUUAUUAUAUAAUUGAUGCAAACAAAAAGCUAGGUUGCUUUUUGUCUGCAUUUGCUGACAGGCAAAUAAACUGAAGCUGCUAGGGUUUAUGGGGAACCUUUGACAUCUAGAAACAGAAGAAACACUGUUCACUAGAUAAUACAAAAGAGAUUUUUCACCCUUUUGAAAAAGAAAAUCUACAUAGCGAGUCACUAAAUACGUAUCUAUUUUUUCAGAAUUGCACUGAAGGCAAAAAGCACAGGAUUAAUGACAAUGUGAAAUGGAAAAAUGUCUCUCAUAAAUCUAUGUUCUUUCACAAAUGAAAUAAUAUUGUACAAUUGAUAGACUCUGCAUAUUUUCACCUAUAUUUUAUAUGUAGCUAUAAAAACUUUUACACUGCAAAGAAACAUCAUUACUAAAACGCCACAGUAGAUGGUCUUGCUUCUCAUUGCACAUUUGAGUAAAACAAUAAAAAUCAUAUUUGAAUCAAGCUUCAGCCAAAAAGUCACAUAAAACCAGUACUCACUUUUUCUUUAGUCUUCUGUCCUUUUCUGCUUGUGUUCCAAGUUUGCCUAAUCCCAGAGAUUCCUGAGCUGCUGCCUCUGUUU